rnacentral:rRNA from 1 species
AGGGUAUUAACCUACAACUUUCCUCGCUGCUGAAAGUGCUUUACAACCCGCAGGCCUUCUUCACACACAUGGCAUUGCUGGAUCAGGGUUUCCCCCAUUGUCCAAUAUUCCC